UUUAUGCCCUUUAUUGGAGUGCAAAAUAUAAACAAGAAGGGAAUCCGAAUCGUUUUCGAUGCCGCCGCUGAAGUUCAGAAUGUGUCUUUGAACAAAUGUCUCUUAAGCGGGCCGGACAUAAAUAAUACGUUAAUUUCAACUAUUUUUAAAUUUUGGGAAGCUCCAGUUGCCGUUUGUGGAGAUAUUAAAGAAAUGUUCCAUCAGAUCAAAAUCGAAAAAAAGAAGACCAGGACUGUCAGCGAUUCUUGUGGAGAAAUGGGGACAAAAAAUAUAAAAGUGGAAGUGUACGUUAUGCAAAGGAUGAUAUUUGGAGCUACAUGUUCGCCAACAAUUGGCAAGUUUAUUAAAAACUUAAAUGCCCAAAGUUUUUUGGAAGAAGCCCCUCGAGCAGUCCAUGGUAUAAUCGACCGUCACUACGUCGACGAUUACGUCGAUAGUUUUGACACUGAGGACGAAGCUGUAAGUGUUGUAAAAGAUGUUAUCAAGAUUCAUGGUGCUGGUGGAUUUGAGCUAAGAAAUAUCAUUUCCAAUUCGGAACGGGUGGUGAGAUCUUGUGGACAAUCGGCCAGCGGAGGAAACAACGGUUUUUAUAUAAAGAUAAUAUAGAAAGAAUUUUGGGAAUACAUUGGUUACCAAGUCCAAAUGUUUUUUGUUUUCGUAUCAAUUUCCAUAAAGUGGAGAAAUCUAUUUUAGAAUUUACCAAGGUUCCCACCAAACGUGAAAUGCUUUCACUAAACAUGUCAAUUUAUGACCCAUUUGGAUUCUUAUGCGAAUUUAUGAUUACAUCAAAAAUUUUAAUGCAACGAGUAUGGAAGGCAGGUAUCGGUUGGGACGAAGAGUUGCCUAUUGAAAUUUAUAGAGAUUGGAAGCUAUGGUUGAUAGAAUUUGAAAAUUUAAAGUAAUUCCAGAUUCCACGUUUUUAUUGCCAAAAUUUUGUCAACACCAUGGUUGAUUUGCAUAUUUUCACUGAUGCUAGCGAAGAGGCGAUGGCGACAGUAGCGUAUUGGCGUGUGGUAAGUGUGGUCGGAAUUAAAGUCGUAUUUGUAAUGAGCAAAUCCGCGUGUGCUUCUACCAGAUAUCAUACUAUACCCAAAUAGGAACUGCAGGCAGCAGUAAUGGGUGCUCGUAUGAAGGAUUUGAUAAUUGCUAACCAUAAUAAAAAAGUUAAUAAAAUUAAUUUCGCACAGAUUCCCGUACUGUUAUUCGCUGGAUUCGUUCUGAUCACCGGAAGUAUAAACAAUAUGUGGCCAACAGGGUGGCCGAGAUUCUAGACAGCAGCGAAAUGGAUAAUGAUGCAACAAGGGCAAAAUUUCCCAUUAAGUAUGAAGCGGACUGACGGUGGACAAAUGGACCUUGAAGUUGCAAAUGGAAAGCUGCCUGGAUGCUAGCAAAACAGAACUACGAUCUAAAUGUCAUAAAUGUGGCUCGUCAGGUUUGCAAAUUACGUCCUGAUAUUAACAGAUUUUCCAAAUAUUCCAGAUUAAAACACACUAUGGCUUGGGUUUAUCGAUAUGUCAAAAAAGCUGAGCGUGAAAGAAGAAGCAUUGGCCGAAACGCACUUAUGUCGACAAAUACAACGCGAAGUUUUUUCGGAUGACAUUGUGAAUAUUGAACGGCAAGGACAUGUGAGCCAAGACAGCAAAUUGAAGACGUUAAAUCCAAUGAUCAGUGAGGACGGAUUAUUAAAAGUCUCUGGACGUAUUCAGAAUGCACCGUGCCUUCCAAUUCAAGCCAAAAAUCCCAUCGUUCUUCCAAGUCAACAUGCUUUCACUCGUCUACUAGUGGAGUCGUACCAUGCUAGACUUUGCCACAUAAAUUUGUCAACCGUAAUAAGCGAAGUGCGCUUGAAGUUCUGGGUUCCAUCGUUACGCCGAUUGCUGAAUAGUAUUCAGUCACGAUGUCAAAUCAGUCGCAUACGGAGAGCAAGACCUUGCCAACCUCAAAUGGGUCCAUUGCCGAUAGAUCGUGUUACACCAUAUGUUCGUGCUUUCACUUACACUAGUUUGGAUUAUUUUGGGCCGGUAAGCGUUACUAUCCGUCGCCAGCGAGAGAAGAGGUGGGUGGCCUUGUUCACUUGCUUAACCGUUCGUGCUACCCAUCUGGAGAUAGCCAAUGAUCUUUCCAGUGAUGCUUGUCUGUUAUGCAUUAGGAACUUCAUAAACCGACGUGGUGUGCCGCUUGUAAUUCGCAGUGAUAACGGCACUAAUUUUGUUGGUAUCCAGAAAGAGUUGCAGGGUGAGAAAAACGUUAUUGAUAAUGAUAAGAUGACUUCUCUUACAGUAUUAGGUAUCCAAUGGAAGUUCAACACACCAGCGAACCCAAGUGAGGGUGGUGCAUAGGAGAGGCUCGUGCAAUUGGUCAAAAAGGUCCUUCAUAUGAUGCUGCGCGAACAUAUACCCAGACUUGGAAACCCUGCAAAGUUUUUUAAUUGAAGCCGAGAAUAUAGUUAAUUCCAGACCACUGACGCAUUUGGCUGUUACACCAGAAGAUCCCGACCCAUUGACGCCAAAUCACUUUUUAUUGGGCUGUGCAAAUUCAACCCAAACACCAGUGCCAUAUGAACCUCGUCUAAUGUGUCUUCGUAAGCAAUGGCGUAUUGUGCAAAAUUUGAAGAAUGAUGUGGAUGCAGAAGAUUUGAAUGGUGAAGCCUCCCCAUCCGGGUCAUUUCACGGGCGAGGAUGUCGAUGAUGGUCACUCUAAAGUGGGCGGUAAAGAUGGUCACCCCUAAAGUGGGCGGAGAAGAUGGUCACCCCUAAAGUGGGCAACGCAAAAGGGGCUGGAUGUGGUAUGAACCACAUUCAUUGAACACUAAUUAUUAUUGCAGUCUGAUCAUAGACAGUAAAAUUGAUAAUUUAUUUGUGAAUUUAGCGCCAUUUGUGAUAGUAUAAAUGCCCUUCAGGCCUUGAUUCUUUCCUUUUUUGCUUGGACAACUUAACUAAACACGUAAGGUUAUCCUUUAUAACUUAAAUUAAAUUUUUAUAAAUUUUUUCCUUUAUUUUAUUAGCGAAUAAACAUUACACAAACAUUUGUCAUCAA